UACAGAGGUCCCAAGCGUUGUUCGGAUUUACUGGGCGUAAAGGGUGCGUAGGUGGCGGGGUAAGUCUGGUGUGAAAGCUCCGAGCUCAACUCGGAAAAGCAUUGGAAACUAUUCCGCUAGAGGGUCGGAGGGGAGACUGGAAUUCUCGGUGUAGCAGUGAAAUGCGUAGAUAUCGAGAGGAACACCAGUGGCGAAGGCGGGUCUCUGGGCCGAUACUGACGCUGAGGAGCGAAAGCGUGGGGAGCGAACAGG
rnacentral:rRNA from 1 species